rnacentral:rRNA from 1 species
GACGUAGGGCGCGAGCGUUGUCCGGAUUUAUUGGGCGUAAAGAGCUCGUAGGCGGUUUGUCGCGUCGUCCGUGAAAACUCACAGCUUAACUGUGAGCUUGCGGUCGAUACGGGCAGGCUAGAAUUCGGUAGGGGAGACUGGAAUUCCUGGUGUAGCGGUGAAAUGCGCAGAUAUCAGGAGGAACACCGGUGGCGAAGGCGGGUCUCUGGGCCGAUAUUGACGCUGAGGAGCGAAAGCGUGGGGAGCAAACAGG